GGGUCCUAAGUUUCCUUUGUUACAUAUUCUAUGUUUUGUAUUUCAAUGACUGCCAUUAAAAAUAAUAGCCUCUUUUCAUAAGUACCAUUCAACCAAAGUAUAAACAAUCACAAAUAUCCUUCAUCUAGAAAUAAAUGAACAAAACCCAGGCUUCCCUUGUAUCUAUUCACAUAAACCUACAGAAUCCUCACAUCUGCUUUCUAUGUCCUUACCUUAUAUCUAGCCUGUGGUCCCCAUAUUCAAUGGCUGAGUCCUUGUUCUUGAUCUCAUUAAAGCGAUUAUGGAAUUAAUCACGUGAGAGUUUAUAGUGGUUGAGCUAGUUUUUUCUGACAAACUUUUAGUUGGUGCUUGGUUUGGGUAACAAG
rnacentral:lncRNA from 1 species